ACACAUGCAAGUCGAGCGGAUGAAGGGAGCUUGCUCCUGGAUUCAGCGGCGGACGGGUGAGUAAUGCCUAGGAAUCUGCCUGGUAGUGGGGGAUAACGUCCGGAAACGGGCGCUAAUACCGCAUACGUCCUGAGGGAGAAAGUGGGGGAUCUUCGGACCUCACGCUAUCAGAUGAGCCUAGGUCGGAUUAGCUAGUUGGUGGGGUAAAGGCCUACCAAGGCGACGAUCCGUAACUGGUCUGAGAGGAUGAUCAGUCACACUGGAACUGAGACACGGUCCAGACUCCUACGGGAGGCAGCAGUGGGGAAUAUUGGACAAUGGGCGAAAGCCUGAUCCAGCCAUGCCGCGUGUGUGAAGAAGGUCUUCGGAUUGUAAAGCACUUUAAGUUGGGAGGAAGGGCAGUAAGUUAAUACCUUGCUGUUUUGACGUUACCAACAGAAUAAGCACCGGCUAACUUCGUGCCAGCAGCCGCGGUAAUACGAAGGGUGCAAGCGUUAAUCGGAAUUACUGGGCGUAAAGCGCGCGUAGGUGGUUCAGCAAGUUGGAUGUGAAAUCCCCGGGCUCAACCUGGGAACUGCAUCCAAAACUACUGAGCUAGAGUACGGUAGAGGGUGGUGGAAUUUCCUGUGUAGCGGUGAAAUGCGUAGAUAUAGGAAGGAACACCAGUGGCGAAGGCGACCACCUGGACUGAUACUGACACUGAGGUGCGAAAGCGUGGGGAGCAAACAGGAUUAGAUACCCUGGUAGUCCACGCCGUAAACGAUGUCGACUAGCCGUUGGGAUCCUUGAGAUCUUAGUGGCGCAGCUAACGCGAUAAGUCGACCGCCUGGGGAGUACGGCCGCAAGGUUAAAACUCAAAUGAAUUGACGGGGGCCCGCACAAGCGGUGGAGCAUGUGGUUU
rnacentral:rRNA from 1 species